rnacentral:rRNA from 1 species
AGAAUCAACGCUGGCGGCGUGCCUAACACAUGCAAGUCGAACGAGAAAGGGGAGCAAUCCCUGAGUACAGUGGCGACCGGGUGAGUAACACGUGACUAACCUACCUUCGAGUGGGGGAUAACUCCGGGAAACCGGAGCUAAUACCGCAUAACAUCGCAAGAUCAAAGCAGCAAUGCGCUUGAAGAGGGGGUCGCGGCUGAUUAGCUAGUUGGCGGGGUAACGGCCCACCAAGGCGAAGAUCGGUAGCCGGCCUGAGAGGGCGCACGGCCACACUGGAACUGAAACACGGUCCAGACUCCUACGGGAGGCAGCAGUGGGGAAUUUUGCGCAAUGGGGGAAACCCUGACGCAGCAACGCCGCGUGGAGGAUGAAGCCCCUUGGGGCGUAAACUCCUUUCGACCAAGACGAUUAUGACGGUACUGGUGGAAGAAGCACCGGCUAACUCUGUGCCAGCAGCCGC